rnacentral:rRNA from 1 species
UACGUAGGGUGCGAGCGUUGUCCGGAAUUAUUGGGCGUAAAGAGCUCGUAGGCGGUGUGUCACGUCGGCCGUGAAAACCUGCAGCUUAACUGUGGGCGUGCGGUCGAUACGGGCAUCACUGGAGUUCGGCAGGGGAGACUGGAAUUCCUGGUGUAGCGGUGAAAUGCGCAGAUAUCAGGAGGAACACCGGUGGCGAAGGCGGGUCUCUGGGGCCGAAACUGACGCUGAGGAGCGAAAGCGUGGGGAGCAAACAGG